GACCAGUCAGGCACAAAGGUGUGUGCGACGCCGGCGAAUGGGCGGCCGGGGGCUGCGUGAUCAGCGGCUGGUGGCUGGCAUGAUGGAGCUCUGGCUGCAGCGUGGAGCCCCCGCCCAGGGAGCUCGAGCUCUGUCAGCGAGGCGACACCGAUUCCCUGCAACAUCCUGCCUUUUCCUUAGUCACGCACUCACACUGACCGCACUCUGCAUGACUCAUCAGUCACGAUGGAGCCGUGAAAGUAACAAACAAUGAGAAUAGAAUUGAGAGGAACACAACAUGGCCUCAAAGAAUAUGCUUUCCUUUCAUUUGGCUGGAAAGUAGGAAGAAAGUGGUACAUAUAUGAAUAGACAAUAAAAGGGGUUGUAAACUAAGUUCAACACUGGUGGUGUGUCGUUUGAAGGACACAGCCGAGAAAAACCUAUGCUGCAGGUGAAAAGAAAGCAACUCUAUCUCUCUCUUUGCUGGAAGCAAGAAACUACGUGAAACCACCGUUGAGAGGAAACAGUACAAAGGCCUUUCUGCCAAUUUGCAGCUAAGAACCUCAAAAUCAACUGCUCACCUAUCAAUAUCAGCAUUACCAGUAACAUUCAACACAAUGGCUGAAAAGUCAUAUUUAGAACACGGAGACUGAUUCAAAUGUCUUUUUUGAACAUUUAUUUUGCUUUGGACUCUAAUUUGUGUGCUGCAUUAUUAUUUUUUCUUGCAUUGAGUAGCUAAUAAUUCAUUAAAUCAGUAGUUCAUUCACUUGUUCAUUAAAUCAAGAAAGCCUGUUUAAAUGAGCUCAGUUUAUAUAAAUAAAUACAUGUUUAUUUUGAUUCUGGGAAAAAAAGAAU